rnacentral:rRNA from 1 species
CCUACGGGCGGCACCAGUGGGGAAUAUUGCACAAUGGGCGCAAGCCUGAUGCAGCCAUGCCGCGUGUAUGAAGAAGGCCUUCGGGUUGUAAAGUACUUUCAGCGAGGAGGAAGGCAUUAAGGUUAAUAACCUUGGUGAUUGAUGUUACUCGCAGAAGAAGCACCGGCUAACUCCGUGCCAGCAGCCGCGGUAAUACGGAGGGUGCAAGCGUUAGUCGGAAUUACUGGGCGUAAAGCGCACGCAGGCGGUCUGUCAAGUCGGAUGUGAAAUCCCCGGGCUCAACCUGGGAACUGCAUUCGAAACUGGCAGGCUAGAGUCUUGUAGAGGGGGGUAGAAUUCCAGGUGUAGCGGUGAAAUGCGUAGAGAUCUGGAGGAAUACCCGUGGCGAAGGCGGCCCCCUGGACAAAGACUGACGCUCAGGUGCGAAAGCGUGGGGAGCAAACAGGAUUAGAUACCCCAGUAGUC